rnacentral:rRNA from 1 species
AACAGGAUUAGAUACCCUGGUAGUCCACGCCGUAAACGAUGUCGACUUGGAGGUUGUUCCCUUGAGGAGUGGCUUCCGGAGCUAACGCGUUAAGUCGACCGCCUGGGGAGUACGGCCGCAAGGUUAAAACUCAAAUGAAUUGACGGGGGCCCGCACAAGCGGUGGAGCAUGUGGUUUAAUUCGAUGCAACGCGAAGAACCUUACCUACUCUUGACAUCCAGAGAACUUUCCAGAGAUGGAUUGGUGCCUUCGGGAACUCUGAGACAGGUGCUGCAUGGCUGUCGUCAGCUCGUGUUGUGAAAUGUUGGGUUAAGUCCCGCAACGAGCGCAACCCUUAUCCUUUGUUGCCAGCGGUUCGGCCGGGAACUCAAAGGAGACUGCCAGUGAUAAACUGGAGGAAGGUGGGGAUGACGUCAAGUCAUCAUGGCCCUUACGAGUAGGGCUACACACGUGCUACAAUGGCGCAUACAAAGAGAAGCGACCUCGCGAGAGCAAGCGGACCUCAUAAAGUGCGUCGUAGUCCGGAUUGGAGUCUGCAACUCGACUCCAUGAAGUCGGAAUCGCUAGUAAUCGUAGAUCAGAAUGCUACGGUGAAUACGUUCCCGGGCCUUGUACACACCGCCCGUCACACCAUGGGAGUGGGUUGCAAAAGAAGUAGGUAGCUUAACCUUCGGGAGGGCGCUUACCACUUUGUGAUUCAUGACUGGGGUGAAGUCGUAACAAGGUAACC